ensembl:lncRNA
AUGCUGAUUUUAUGCCUGCAUCUUUGCUGUGCACUACAAAAUGGUAAUUUCAUUUUAAAUUUUUUAAAUAUAUUGGCCUAUGAAAUGGUCAUAAAUAACACUUUAAGUUAUUUGGCAAUUUUGUUCAGUUGUAUGUAAUAAAUAAAUAAAUAAAAUAAAAACCCAAGACGAUUUGUGUUUCACUGCAGCUUACAUUCUCAGAAAACGGUCAAAACAAAACAAAAACUGGGGCACUGGGGCAGUACCCUUUCAAAAGGUACUAAUAUGUACUUUUAAAUGAGUAAUGUAUAUCAUUUAGGGGUAAAUAAGGUACAAAGAUGCAGCUUUUGUACCUGACAGUUUUAUACAUUGUAAGCAGCAAGGUAAGAGGUUUAAGUGGUGCUUGCUAAGACUUUUGCACCAUUUGUGCAACAGAGAUGAAUAUUUCCUUCAUCAUGUGGCUAUUUUGUGUGGUGUUUUUUCACCUGGAGAAUGAUAAAGCUGGGACCAGAACACUCUAAAACCUUAUAGCAAUGUGUUAAAAAUCACUCUGGCUACAUUAGACACCCUGUACCUGGGUGUUGCCCACUCAAACAGCACUCUAGCAUUGUAGCAGUGAGUUUUGCAUCAGCAGCUCACAUAUUCUGUGAUUGACAUAACCAACUUUAAUAAAGUAGCUGUAUGUUUUUCCACUUGAAAGCCAUCUCUGCAUUACAAUUGUGGUUAAUUUUCUUUGCUGUUUAAUUGCAUUAGCUAUCUCUCAAAUUCUGUUUUGUUUUUGUAGGAAAGUGCAACUUUACAGUGGCAAUGGUGCAUACUGCUGGAAAAGUCACUUGCUUCAAGAUGAUGGAUGGACAUGUCCCAAUUUGCAUGUCUGGUGGUCAAACAUCCCAAUCAUGUGACAUUGCGUACAAAGAUGGGAUGACGUGUAUAAAGUGGCCAGCAGACAUCGAACUCACAUGUGUGAACGAUUCUGAUGAGAUGCAUAAGCUCAAUAUUGGUAAUAAGUGUCAAAAACUGUUUCAGCACUGGAAAUACAAAUCUUUGAUUUUUGAUUUAUAUAUCAAAAUAUCUGUUUCUCUUGCAGAAGAAAACAAGUGUGCCCAUGACCAAGAAUCUAUUAGUUGCAAUGGAGAGUACAAAUCUGAGCUUAGAAAUUCUGCAUCAACCCUGUCAUUGAGCAUUCUUCUAAUUACUACCAUUGUCCACUGGGUGUCACUAUGGCACUACUAAUAGUGUAUAGUUCUGAGACACAUUACUCAAACUUAAAAAUAAUAAUAACAAUAAUAAUGUGUUCGAAUAAACCAUUUUUAUAUAUAUAAAAAAACA